rnacentral:misc_RNA from 1 species
AAGUCUUGCUUUAUAAUCCUUUUAGGUUUUUAGAGAAAAACAUGCGUUUUAGAGCACUAUAGUUUUUAGACACUAUAGAUUUUAAAGACCAUGGAUUGACCUAAAGCUUACAGGGUAACAAAAGGCUUUAUGAAGAAAGCAGCUCAAGCUUUUCUCAUAGUUUAAGAUGAUACCGGGGAAGGUUUUCCGGUUUAUCCCGGAGGGCUUGUAGCUCAGUUGGUUAGAGCGCGCGCUUGAUAAGCGUGAGGUCGGAGGUUCAAGUCCUCCCAGGCCCACCAAUUUAUGCUCAUUUAUUGUUGCUUAUUCUAAGCCCAUGAAGCUUAAGCGUGAAGCCUCUUUAAUCUUUGUUUAUUGUUAAAGAUUUUGUCUUAUCCUUCAAAGAUUGUUUAAGAUUAUUUUUUAAACCCGUGAAAUUUUGUUAAAAUAGCUUAGGCUAUGUAAGUUGAUAAAAUGGGUUAAGGUUG